GGCCUUUAUGACCAGGGCUACACACGUACUACAAUGGCCGGUACAAAGGGCAGCCACUUAGCGAUAAGGAGCCAAUCCCGUAAAGCCGGUCUCAGUCCGGAUUGGAGUCUGCAACUCGACCCCAUGAAGUUGGAAUCGCUAGUAAUCGCAGAUCAGCACGCUGCGGUGAAUACGUUCCCGGGCCUU
rnacentral:rRNA from 1 species